AAUCCACCUGCCAAUGCAAGGGACAUGGGUUCGAGCCCUGGUCCGGGAAGAUCCACAUGAAAUGGAGCAACUAAGCCCGUGUACCACAACUACUGAGCCUGUGCUCUAGAGCCCAUGAGCCACAACUACUGAGCCCACGUGCCACAACUACUGAAGCCUGCACACCUACAGCCCGUGCUCCGCAACAAGAGAAGCCACCGCAAUAAGAAGCCCGUGCACCACAACGAAGAGUAGCUCCCACUUGUCGCAAUUAGAGAUAGCCCAUGCGCAGCAACGAAGACCCAACGCAGCCAAAAAUAAAUAAAUAAAUUUUUAAAAAAUAAAUAAGAACACAGUUGCUCAGUUAAAAUCAUUUCCUAGCAAAGCAAUAAUCACCAUUUAACCCACUUGGUCUGAGGUGCCUCUAAUGUUUAAAUGAAGAUGCUCACAUCUCAUUCCUUGUUUCCUCAGGGCUGCUGUGGAAUUCUACCUGUAUCAGGCCCCCACCGACAGCCAGGCUUGUAUUAUUGACUGUCAUUUUUAAGUAGCUCAGAGUCUAUGCUCAGAAUUUCCUGAAUGCCUAAAGAAUAACUGCUCACCUGCAAACCCCAUCGUGCUCAGCUUGGCAGGGCUCCCUUGUCACAUACCGUAUUUUCCAGGAACAUUUCUGUAGAGAAAAAUGGUCCCCAAGGAGCAACUGAAGCGUGUGUGUAGGCACUUAGAAUUGACACACUGUGGAAUGACUGGGAAUUUAUUUGGAUAAAUAGCCUGUAAUAUAGUCAGGGACUUCCCAUAAUUCUGAAGUCAAUGAGGCCCUUGGUGGUUUUAUUUCCCUCACUUCUGAGACAAUGGGAUUCACAUAGACUAUGGAUUUAUUCAUUAAAUGCUGAGUGUAAGAACUUGUUGUCACCAUCUUCUUUUGGGACAACUGAGCAUGGUUCCUCUUGGUAAGUGAUAUGAACACAAAAUAAACAUUGCCAGCUAUCUGUGUUCCAAUCUUCCCUGUGAGCAACUCUAAGUUUAGCUGCUGCUGUAUUCAAGUAAGCUUCUGCUCAGAAAGUAGUAAGAUGCUGGGGCUGCAGUAUUUCACUGUAGGAUGCUGUAAUGUCAGGAACCCGUACCAACACAUUCCAGAACUCCUAUACUAUGUGCUCCAGAAAAAGAGGCACAAAAUUCCUUCCAGUGUGUGAACUCUGGACCUAGAGAAUUUUGGUUUCGAUAAUUGAUAACUUUUUAUCUUGAGUAAGUACCUUAACCUCUCUGAGCCUUGUUUUUCCAUCUGUAAAAAAGGGAAACUAUCAGUAGCCAUCUCAUAGGGUUGUUGUGAGGAAUAAAUUCUAUCAUGUUUGAAAUGUGCUUAAACGUGACUAGGAAAAAGAAACUUUCAAAAAAAGUGACCAGCAUAUCUUAAGUGCUCAAAAUGUGAAUUCCUUUUAUUAUCACAACUGUCAUCAUUAUCACGAUGAUCACCCCAGAGAAGGGGAUCUAGUUUUACUGUCUCGGCUGUGUUUCAGUUGACAUUUCCAGCCUCAGUUAAAUGCUGUAGGAAAAAAGAAACAAACCUAGAGAGAGGCAAAGCAAGGUAGAAGGAGGAAGUGAGGGGAGAGCUAUGGGGAGGAAAGGACGGAAACAAAAAGAGAAAUAUCAACGCCAUUGAAGUUGUCUCAGGUCCUUGGGUAGCUGACACCUACCUUAAAUAAGUCAAAGGGCAGAAUUUGGAGGGAGGGUGUUAACCAGCUAAACAUUAGCCAGAUGGCUACAGCAAGUUAUUUUGAAGUGAGCGGGACGUAUUCUUGCAGCGACGCAUACCUCUUCAGCUGUGCAAGAUGAUUGUUAAUCACGUAGCCACGAUUCUCAGUAGCUCCACAUUGUAAGCUCAUCUUCUUCACUGGUGGUGGGUGAUGGUGAUGUUGAUGAUGAUGGUGGUGAUAGCAGUAGUAGCUGUCAGUUACUGAGCCUCUAUGUUGAGCCACACACCACAUUUUACAGGUGAAGACAUUAAAUAUCAGAUGGGAAAAUCAGAAAUUAGACGGCCUCUGGAGAUACCACACAAUGGAUAUACACGUGUGCCUGUAUGCUUCCAGUCCUUGGAUCUUUCUGCCAUAGCACUCUGUCUCUCUUUUCUUCCCUGCAGGUUAAAAAAGUGGUUGGUUUUAUGGUCCUCAGAAUUUGGUAGAUUGUUCUGCUGUCAAGUGCAUGAGAGCAGGGGAAUGGGGCAAUGAGGAUCAGAUUACUUUGAUCUUAGAGGGCAUGCAGGUUUCUUACCAGAAACUUUUCACUUAUGCAGGACACAAACACUGGAUUUUCCUGCUACUUCAGUUUCCCAAAUAUUAGGAGUUCAGUGGGGAUCCUUUCAAUGAGAAGCUUCUUACUGCCUCUACCAGGUCAAUUCUCUAGAGAUUCAUAUAACCCAAGCUAAUUUGUCUAAAACAAAUACAAUUAAAAGUCAGUGUGCCUAAGAGCAUUUUUGGUUAUAAUAAUUUUUACUGAAUAAUAUUAAUCACUUUCAGUAUAUUUCUCAUAUGAUAUGAGGUAUGGAACCCCUUUUACAUAUUCUUCCCUUUUUUAAAGUACUUUUCUGUUUUUCUUUUUCUUUUCUUUUUUUUUUUUUUUUUUGCGGUACGCGGGCCUCUCACUGCCAUGGCCCCUCCCGCUGCGGAACACAGGCUCCGGACGCGCAGGCCCAGCGGCCAUGGCCCACGGGCCCAGCCGCUCCGCGGCACGUGGGAUCCUCCCAGACCGGGACACGAACCCGUGUCCCCUGCAUCGGGAGGCGGACUCCCAACCGCUGCGCCACCAGGGAAGCCCACUUUUCUGUUUUUCUCAUCAAGGAUCCCAAGCUUUAGCCCAACUUAUACACAUUUCUGGGAUUUAGAUGUCUGCACAUGUCUUGCAAAUAGGUUGAGAAGUAUAAAUCAUAUUAUUUGCUUAAAUCUUGAAGAUGUUUCCUGGGAGAAAAUUUAUCCUGAAAAAAAAGAAAGUAGCAUGAUUCAGGGACAAAAGUACUAGACACUGGGGGAAAGGACUGGCUGUUUUUCCACUUUGAAACCCAAAUUAUAAAUCAUUGCUUAUUUAAUUAGUGCUAGAUACAAUUGUUUCUAAAGGUCAGUCAGUCAAACAAGUAUUUAUUGCAUAAUUUCGUGCUCAGUAUGUAAUUAGUGCUAUAAUUGGGUAUGUGUAAAACGUGAUAGCUAGCUACUCCAUUUGUUCUUGGUUUUUGUAUACCCAGAAUCCAGAAUAGUGCCUGAUUUAUGUACAUGAUCAGUAACUAAUUGAUGGAUAAGUUAGUGAGUGAACAAAUGGAUGAAUCAUACCCUCGUUGUGGAGACAACACAAAUGAAAAACAGCAGCAGUCUUUAGAGAAGAGAGAAUGUAAUUUAGUACUGAAUUAUGCAUAGUGUGGUGGACUGAGCUAAUACUUGGGUUCCAUUCCUACUCUGUCUUGACUUAUUCAGUGACCAUGGAUGUUACUAAAAUAUGUGACGCCUAACAGAUUUCUAAGAUAUUUUCAAGUUGUAAUAUUUUUUGAUCUCAUAAAAAUGCGUUCUGAAAUAUCCAAGAUUUCUCAGGUAGGAGGAGACAGUGAAGAUUGGAACGAUAGGGGAAGUCUUCCGUGAAGAGAUAAUAUUCGAUUUGGGUAGGGUUUUGGUUGGGUGGAAGAACAAGAAACUAGUAGGUUUCCUUCUGUGUAGCAGGUGCUUAUACAAAUAUCACGAUGUCAAGAGGUAGCUUAAGUACCAUUUUUGUAGACAGGAGAAGAAACCAGUAUCUCCAGUUGAGUUAGAGAAAUAAGGAUUGGAGCCAGGACAGUCACACACUAAAUCCUUUGCUCUUUACUGUGCACCCCAUUAAGGAGACCAGGUGAGGGUUUGUUAUAUAAGCAGAUCCUAGGAAUUUGGUUUUGUAUUUGCAUUGCUUUUGCAAAUUAACUCUUAGCUAGGGAAGGCUUCUCACCAAAAUGAAGUUUUGUCAAAAUUUCCAUCUGUGGCGGACAGUGUUAGUUGCUUCUUCAAUAUCUGUUCUCUCUUUCUGUUUUACUAGAGGAAGUAAACAUGCCAAGUUAAUAUGUGAUUCCCUAGGCUCACUUGUAGCUAGGGGUGGCCGCCUGGCACAUUUUCCCCAGUGUGCUAUAAGUGGAUGUAUACUAGUUGGAAUGUCUGGGAAAGCAAUUAUUUUCCACAGGGAUGAAUUCACCUCGAAUAUUCUUUUUGUGGUUUGUACUUUAUACCUCUUACUACUUGAAAUUCAGAUAUUACCUAGAGGUAGAGCAGACAUACUGUACGCAUGGUGACAAAAGCCACAUGCCGAGAAUUACAGUACAGAGUGAUAGAGAUUUAGAUUGUUAGCAGCGUUGUGAAACCUCUGUCCCAGCCUUGAACUACCAACUGCAAGGCUUCAUGUUUUUGUUUUUGUUUUUGUUUUGUUUUUGUGGUACGCGGGCCUCUCACUGUUGUGGCCUCUCCCGUUGCAGAGCACAGGCUCCGGACGCGCAGGCUCAGCGGCCAUGGCUCACGGGCCCAGCCGCUCCGCGGCAUGUGGGAUCUUCCCAGACCGGGGCACGAACCCGUGUCCCCUGCAUCGGCAGGCGGACUCUCAAUCACUGUGCCACCAGGGAAGCCCGCAAUGCUUCAUGUUACAUGAGAAAACUAAUUUUCUGGAUUUACCUUAGCAACUUGGCAUUCUACAAAGUCAUGAACUGAAGGAAAGGAUUUUCCUGAAAAGAGAACUUACAACAGCCUAACAGAAGCAUGAGCACACGUCAUUAAAAAAGGUGUUUCUGGAGACUGCAGCCAAGAGAGCUCACCUCCUCUCAUGAGCACACCAAAAGCACAACUAUCUGCAGAACAGCCAUUGAUGAAAAAGACUGGAACCUACCAGAAGAGAUUUUCUACAGCUAAAGACAUAAAGAAGGAACCAAAAUGAGACAGGUAGGAGGGGUAGACUCGUGAUAUCCUCAAAUCCCAUACCCCUCCAGGUGGCUGACCCACAAAUGGGAGAAAAAUUCUAUUGCAGAAUUUCUCCCACAGGAGCGCAAGUUCUGAGCCCCACGUCAGGCUCUCCAGCCUGGGGGCACAGCACCAGGAAGAGGAGCCCCCAGAGCACGUGGCUUUGAAGGCCAGCAGGGCUUAACUGCAGGAGCCCCACAGGACUGGGAAGAACAGAGACUUCACUCUUAAAGGGUGCACACAAAAUCUCACGUGCACUGGGACCCAGGGCAAAAGGAGUAAUUUGAUGGGAGCCUGGGCUGGGCCUACCUGCUGGUCUUGGAGGGUCUCCUGGGAAGGUGAGGGGGUGAGGGAGGCUGCAGCUCACUCUGGGGAUGAAGACACUGGUGUUGGACAUAUGAGGGAAUAUUCAGCCACGUGAACACUGCUGCUGACAUCUUGGAUCACUAGCUCCAAGACCUGGCCCUACCCAACAGCCUGCAAAUGAUAGUGCUGGGACACCUCAGGCCCAACAACUACCUGGGCAGGGACACAGCCCCACCCAUCAGCAGACAGGCUGCCUAAAGACUAAAGACCCCAUAACCACCUCUGGGCUCUACCCCAGACACAGCCCAGCCCACCAGAGGGCCAAGACCCAGCUCCACCCACCCGUAGACAGGCACCGGCCCCUCCCACCAGGAAGCCAGACUCUAGACCAGCCUCAUCCACCAGGGGGCAGACACCAGAAGCAAGAAAACUACAAUCCCACAAUGCAGGCCAGACCCUAGCCUAGAACCAGUUGGGCCCUGGCCCGGCCCACUAACAGGCCAAGGCAGCCUGUGGGACACCCCAGACCCCAGACCCAGCUAUGUCAGGAACCGGCCCCUCCCCCCAUCCCCCCUGCAACAAGCUGAAGUGAGCUCUGGAUCCCUGGGCCCUGCAGCCAGACUCUAGGAACCAGCAGUCUGCACUAACCCCAGGAUCUGCCUUCACCAGCUAGUGAGUGGGCGACAGCCCCAGACUCUUCGGGGCCCUGACUCUGCUCACCAGUGAGCCGGCACUGGCCCCUGGGCCCCCUAGGAUUCUGCAACCAGCCACCUCGUGACCAGGCCCCACUAAACAUCAGCCAGAAGCAUCCGUACAAGUCAGGGCCUGGCAGCCAACCAGGCCAGGGGCUUACCAGCCUGACCAGUUAGCCCGCUACAACAGAAGGACCCACGUAGCUCUCUUAGGGGGAACCCCCAGAGCAUGUAACUUGGGGAAUGAAAGGGGAGUGCACUGCUGGGAUGCAGAGGAUGCCUCCUCCAGAGGGCCACUCCUCCAAGGUGGAGAAACGUAACUGACCUACCACAUACCUAAAAAUACAGAUAGAAAUCUAGACAGAAUGAGGCCUCAGAGGAAUAUGUUUCAGCCAAAGGAACAAGAUAAAACCUCAGAAGAACUCAGUGAAGUGGAGAGAAGCAGUCUACCAGAGAAAGAGUUCAGAGUGCUGGUCAUAAAGAUGAUCAAGGAAAGUGGGAGGAGAAUGGAUACACAGAGCGAGAAGUUAGAAGUUUUGAAUAAAGAGAAGAUAUAAAGAACAGCCUAACAGAAAUGAAGAAUACAAUAACUGAAAUAAAAAAUACUCUGGAAGGAAUAAAUAGUAGACUAAAUGAUUCAGAAGAAUGGAUCAGUGAGCAGGAAGACAGAGUAGUGGAAAUCACUGCUGCAGAACAGAAAAAAGAAUGAAAAGAAAUGAGGACAGCAUGAGACCUCUGGGACGACAUCAAGUGCACUAAUACUUGCAUUAUAAGGGUCCCAGAAAAAGAGAGAGAAAGGGCCCGAGAAAAAUAUUUGAAGAGACAAUAGCUGUAAACCUCCCUAACCUGAGAAAGGAAAUAAUCACCCGAGUCUGGGAAGCAGGGAGAGUCCCAUACAGGCUCAACCCAAAGAGGAACACACCAAGACACGUUGUAAUCAAAAUGACAAAAAUUAAAGAAGAAAUACUAAAAGCAGCAAGUGAAAACAACAAAUAACGUACAAGGGAACUCCCAUGAGACUAUCAGUUGAUUUCUCAGCAGAAACUCUGCAGGCCAGAAGGGAGUGGCACAACAUAUCUAAAGUGAUGAAAGGGAAAAAGCUACAACCAAAAAUACUCUACCCAGCGAGACUCUCAUUCAGAUUUAAUGGAGAAAUCAAAAGCUUUACAGACAAGCAAAAGCUAAAAGAAUUCAGCACCACCAAACCUUCUUUGCAAGAAAUGUUAAAGGAACUUCUCUAGGCAACAAAGAAAAGACCACAACUAGAAUUAAGAAAAUUGCAGAAUGAAAAAGCAGAAAAGGCAAACAUAUAGCAAAAGUAGGUAAUCAUCCACAAACAAAACUAGUAGGUUAAAAGACAAAAGUAGUAAAAAUCAUCUAUAUCCACAAUAAGCAGUUAGGGGAUACACGAAACAAACAAUUAGAUGUAAAAUAUGAUAUCAAAAACAGUAACCACGAGCGGAGGAGAGUACAGAUGCAGGGUAUUUAAAAUGCGUUUGAAAUUAAGAGAUCAGCAACUUAAAACAAUCACGUAUGCAUAUAGACUGCUAUACAAAAACCUCAAGGUAACUGCAAACCAAAAAUCUGUAAUAGAUAUAAAAAAGGUGUUUCUGUACUCUUAGCAUCGUUUCAAAUUAUUUUGAACAAUAUAUAUUUAAAAAACAAAAAAGGAUAGCUUUAUCUAGCACACAUGCCAAAAGCAGGCUUGCUUUACUUGUAAGAGACACAGGCAAAUUGAAGUGCUCUAGAGUACAUGUGACACACAUGGAAAUAAUGAAUGAAAAUAGCAUUUGAAGCUCUAAUGAAUGCUGAGAUGAUCUGCAUUUUAAAAGAGUCUACAGGCCACCUUAUGGACCCACACGACCUACCAGAAGUCUCAUUUUGAGGCCCCCUGUGCUAGAUUAUAGAUGCUUCACUUGCAGGAGUACUUAUUUGAUUGCUGUAUUUUAAUUCAUAGAAUGGCAUUGUUGAUUGAGUACCCUGAGCCAAAUAAAUGAGCCACUUAUGUUAGGCACUUGUUCACAUUCAUAAAAACAGCAAAUAAUAUUAUCUUCAUCAAGCCCUUCCUAAGAAAUAGUGAUUGAAUGAUAUCUGGUGUUUUCUUUGUGUGCAAUUCCUUUCCAAGAGGUGGAGGAAACUGAUUUGCUUUUGAUGAACCUGUGUUGCCUCCAAACUGAUGUCCACAGAUUUCCUACUUCGUUAAUUGUCCCAGCAAUUUAGCAAACAGUGAUUUAUAUGAAAUAUUCCCUCUUGUUGCAGGCUCUACAGUCAGCUAAUUGAUUGCUGUAUGAAUUAUGCAUCCUAAACCAAAUGCAGGGGUGCAUGAAAGAUGCAGCCAAGGUCAUUUCCACCAAAGAGAACUACGGUGACUAAAUGCCUUUUUAAGACAGGCUUUAUUACUUUAAUUUUGCUGCUUUCUUCAUGUAUACAUCAAGUCCAGAGUAGUGAGCAGACUCUAAAAUCGUACCUUUAAUUUAUAAAAAGAUGCAUACACCCACAGUUCAGUGUUCUGCUGCCUGACAAAGGCUAUCACUGAAUUAAUUUGGUAGCACUAAGGAAAGAACCAGAAAUGGCAUACAGGUGCUUUUUAUCUAAUUCCAAAAUAUGCCAAAUCCCAUCAAAUUUGCCUAUAGUUUAUUAACAUUCAAAAGUGCCUGCUCCCAAAAUAAGCACUUUGAUUAGAUGAAGGCCAUGUUGGGACUAAAUACAGAUGAUUUGGCAUUUCCGCAGGUGAUGGACAGUUUUGAAAAGAUAUUCAUACUAAGAGAAGUGAAUGAUUUGUACAUUCUAGACGCUGUAUAAAGGAGAAGAAUGAUGCUUUACUAAAGCUUUCAGGAUUAAAGAAAUCAAAUUGGAAUAAUGAAAAGAUCUUCAUUUUUGCUGUCUCCGUGGCUUGGUUUGAAUUAUCACUUAGCCGUUUAUUAGUUGAGUGACUUUAGGCGAUUUAACCCUUCUGGACUUCAGUUGCCUUCUGCAAAAAUGGUCAUAAUAAUACUUUACUUACAUAGUUAUUGUAAAGAUAAACAUGACUGUAAGAGUCAUUAAAAUCAAUAACUUAACCUUAGACAGUACCUUGCUGCUUAUACAACAGAGCAUACUACCAGAUAUAGUGUUCCUCGAAUUACAAGUUGCGUGUGAGGUCUGUAAAGAAAACUUCCAAUUUGCUCUUAAAAUCACCCCCAGAAUGGCCAUGAGACCAUAUCAGUAUAUGCCCCCUAAACCAAACAAGCAUCUUCUGAUGUGAAUGUUUCCGUAUGCUCAAAGAACUCUUCUCGGGCAUUAAUCCACAUAAAAGUACAUGUUUCAGGACAAACUACAGAUACCUGGGGCAUACCAAAUCACACUCAGGCUGUGCUGGAUAAUGUAUGUGCUAUGAUUUCACAUUAGGGGAACAGACACCUCACAAGAGAGGAAUCAAUCACAAACCCUUCAGACCAGCACUUCACGCUUUAAUGCACUUAGCAAUCAGCUGCGGGUCUUGUUAAAAUGCUGACUGUGGUUCAGCAAGCUUGGGUUGGGGCCUGAGAUUCUGUAGUUCUAACAAACUUCCUGAUGACGUGAUGCAUCUGGUCCAUGAGCCACAAUUUGAGUUGCAAGGCUGAGUGCUUUUCAAACCCAGCUGCAUGUGAGAUUUGCCUGAAGAUCUCCUUAAAAAUAAUGAUGCCUGGGCUCUUCCUCAGAUUAGCUGAAUCUCUGGAAUUCAAUCCCUGGCUUAGGUACGUUUUUAAAGCUCCCUGAGUGAUCUUUAUUUGUAGAGCCAUGGCUGAGAACCAGUGUUUUAGACGUAAAGGCAAGUACUUCCAUCACCUCAUAUCAUGUGAUCUUUCUAAAAUCAUUUAUUAGCAAAGCCCAGACUGUGUAACAUAGAGAGCCCAGGACUUGGGCUUCAGAACGCGACAGUAAGUGCAGCAGGGCUUCUGCUUCUCACAAGGGCCUCGAGGAGGGCUCCACCCGUGUUCCACUUCCCUAAUCUGGAAUAGAGCUGUCAGGAUAGCUUUUCACCAGGCCCUGGGACAGGAUCAACACCUCAUCGCUUCCCAGUAAAAAGUAUCACCCCUAUCAGUGACUCUGGAGCUUUGACUUGAACCUGGAGUGGAAGGAAAUGUCAUGUAGCAUUGAAGGACCAUAAGAGUCACGGAUUAUACUUACAGAGUAGAAAAUGCACAUGAUGGGGAAGUUUUGCUGCUAUGGAAGAUAUCGGUUCUACUUCCAACUACCAGUGACCUCAUGCCUUUAAAAUUAGCACGCAUAAUAUGCUGUCUGUAAGUUAACUCUACUUUUUCUAAGUUCCCACAGUAGGUUUUUCUUCUUGCUUGUUACAUUCCCAACAUUGUAAUUUUAAUUCAAUACCUGGUUUCUCCAUUUCAGUGGCACCUGCAUCCGAUGACCUGGAGCCUUUUAAGACCAUACUGAUGUGCCCAUCUACUAUAGUUCCUGGUUCAGUAGGUCUGGGGUCAGGACCGAGAAAUGGCAUUUCUAACAAAUUCCUGUGAGGUGCUCUUAGAUAUUGGGCCAGGAACGACCCCCUCCCCCAUCCUUUGAGAACUACUGCUUUAUCAUUUCAUGAGCUUCAUGGGAAGAGGUAUUGUGCUUUUAUAUUCUCCAUGCACCACCAGUGCCUAGUAUGUAGAUGGCAUGAACAAAUAUCGUUUGAAUAAAAAGUGAUCACCAAGCCCCAUCUCAUUCAUAGUGAAAACACUUAUGGAACGUUGGACAUUUCAUCCAGCCUGUUAAGGAUAAUGCUUUCCAAAGAAACUCAAAAAAUAACAUUGACUUAGGGAUUUCUGCUACUGUGGAAUCUAGAGCAUCUGGAGUCACUUUCUAUGAAAGCUUUCUUUUUUUUUUUCCUCAGCCACUAAGGUAUGGUAAUGAAAUCAGCAUGACACACAGGUGUGUUGACUGUUUAGGCUUCCAUUCAAGGUGCUUUGAAAGCAGAAGCAACAGAAUCCCCUCCUGUAGGGCCAUCUGCUUUCAAUUUUUCAGCUGAACCUCCUGAAGACUCACCAGGUGCUAAUUUUGUAUAUGAUUCCAUUGGAAUUCUAUCACUUUUCUUUAGAUUUUAAUUCCCAAAGGAAGGGAAAGAUUCACUGAAGCAGAAAAGCUCCCUGACAUAGAGAAGAUCGGGAAUGAUCUCUAGCUGAACAAAGGCCAGUUCUACAAAUAGUUGACAAAUUGUCUGAGUUUUAGUCAACUCAUUUUUUAAAGUCACCUCCUGAACGUGUAGGCUUUUGCAAUCACUGGAUCAGCCGUGCAGUCAAUCCAAUUCAGUCUCAGAAGGAGGAAAUAGAUUGUUUUUAAACCUAUAGUUUUUACUUUCCUAACUCGGGCAGUCGAUACUUUGGACAAUUUCGAACACAGAAACCAUAACUUUAUGAAAAUCUGCUGCGUGAUUUCCUUUUCACAUUCAAGUACUUAGAAAUCUCUUGCCCUUGUUACUAGAAAAACUAAUGUUGGGCAAGUGAUUAGAAUCUCUUCUAAUCCUCAUGUUUCCUGAAUUCAUAUUAACAGAAAGGAGAGAGACCAACAACCUAAUCUGCAGUCAUUCCAAAUAAAGUCUGAGCUUCAUCUUCACAUUUGAGCACUAAAUUUAAGAGCAAAACUCAUGACAGAGCAGAGAAAAGGGGCACAUUUUAGCAGUUAAGCUUUAGGCCGGCUUGAUCCGAACUAAAUGCUUUGUAAUCUCUCUUUAAACAAAAGCUUUAGCUUCUGUAAUCCUCCUUUUUAUCUAUCCCUAUGAAGCCUCCUGAGGUUAAAGCUGCUGCUCAUGUAAUUUUUUAUAAACAGCCUAGAUCUUUGCCCACAAAUUGCUUUCCAAGGGUGAUGGCAGCAGUGUCAACUUAGCUCAAGUGUCAUGAGUCAUGUUCCCCUCCCUUUGGAGACACCUGCCCAAGCAAAGCCCGAGUAUCCUUUGCUGGUAUUCUCACUGCACAGACGUCCUGCUACUGAGCAUCCAUCCAGCCGAGGGCCCUGGCUCAAUAAAGCAUGGCUGAGAGACUAUUGCGUCUAUCUGCACCUUCUGUUCUUGAAAUCCCAAGGAAAGCUUCCAUUUGUCACAUUGAACCAUGCGCCGUUAUACUCUGGCUCCACCCAAAGUCUGGUGUCUUUGAUGGGGUUCUUCAGUGCCUGUGAACUUCCACUGCCUUUCCUGAGGGGAAACAGCAAGGAAGCUGAGGCUCCAUGACAGACUGAUGCCCUAAUGAAGCAGCCCAGCCAGGACUGAAACGUCUCACGCUUGCCAUUGUGUGGUCACUGUAACUUUCCAACAGGCAUCUUUAACGCUGCUUGUGAAAGCCUGCAUGUAGAGACAACGAAAAGCUGAACUUCAUAUAAAUGCCAAAAAAUAAAAAUACAUCACUAUGCAGAAACAUCAGAGAGAGCAUACAACUUUUGCUGCACCUAUUAUAGUAGGACCAUGUGUUCACAUGUGAGUAUAGGCGCACAUGCGUGCACGCGCGCACACACACACACACACACACACACACACAGACUCCUCCACAAGAGAGCAGCUGUCUUAUCUUCUCACAAGCCCAAGCUCUAGCUAUGUGUGUAAGAGAAACAAUCUCUAGAUAAAUCCUCAUAAGAUAAAGACCAAUUUUGACUUUCCCUUUGACUUAGAAAUCUAGGCUCAGACUCCUUGAUAAGGAAGUUGCUAUAACUGGGAAUUUAAAAAUAAUCCUGGAUUCUCAAGAAGUGGCCUAGUUUAAUGGAAGGACUAUGGGCUUUAGAAUUAAACAGACCUGGCUUUAAAUCCCUCAUAUUCCAUUUAUUAAUGGUGCAGCUAUGAGCAAGUACCUUAAACUCUCUGAGCUUUGGUUUCCUUAAAUGCAUAAAGCUUCUUGGAAGCAUUAAAGAUGAUAUGUGUGAUGUGGCUAGAAGAGAGUGAAACCUCAGGAAUGGUAGGUAGCUUCUACCACUGGCCAACUCAUUCUUAUUGGACAAGAUGCGUUACCUUUUGGGGCCCUGGUUUCUUCCUCAAAGAAUCAAUUCUAGUGCUCCAAGAUUCAAAACUUAGUGCUUAUACUUUACUUAGGGAAGGAGGACAGAUGUAAAGAAUCAGGAUUUUCUCAACAAAAGCUGAUGAGUCUCCUUCUCCUUGGUGUUCCUGGGUGGGUGGUGGAUGGGCAAAAGUUCGGUCUCCACAUAUGUACAGGUGUUAAUAAAAUGGGGCAAGAUGAUGAUAAAUCCUUAGGGAAGAAAGUGUAAAGCCUCCACUUUCAUCUUGUCAUCUUGGCUUUCUCUUUCUUUCUCUCUCCUCCCCUGCUUCUCUCUCUCUCUCUAUUUCUCUUUCUCUCCCUCUCUCCAAAUGAAAAUAAUGUAAUAUCUUAGCCUUACAUUUCAAAGGUCAUUAACACAAACACACUUAUAAAACUAUAUAUAAGCAUCAGUUAUUGUUGCUAGCUAUGUAAUCAUCACUGCAGAUAUUUAACUCUAAAUCACAAUGUCUCCAGCUUUCCUUGGCUAUAAAUUAUGUUCAACUCUGGACUGUCCUAGAAAGUACUAUCUGAAGAAAAGUUAAUGUUCCUAAAGUUCUCUACAUAGAGAAUACUAGGUAAAAGUAUCACACCUUCUUGCAUUUGGUGAGUUUUCUAAGAGUUCUCUUUUCUACACCCCGUAUUUGAUUUCUAUUAAGCAAUGUCAUCUGUCAUCCAGGACUGCCACUUAUUCCCUACAAAGGGAACUCACGCAGCUAGACUCAGUGUCAUCAUUUCAAAGAUGUGUGCACAUACAAGGACUCUCUUGAUCCUUUAUUUAAAAGGCGAUCAAUCUAUUUUAAAAUUGCCUUCAAAAGACAUGAACUAGUCUGGCUCCAACACUUGAAUUUUCAUGCUGUCUCAUAUUGACUAUAGUAACUACAGUAACAAACCAACAUCCACAGGGUGAAGCUACCCUCUCUCAUGCUGGUGAACAGGGUACUUUUUGGACGUCAGCACUUUGGCCAACAGAGCUUCUGAAAUGGGAAGAUCAGGCCCCUUCUCAGGACGAGGCCCUGCCUGGAUGGAGUACCUGCAAGACAGAGCAAGUAUUUCAUCUUAGAGUACUUAGGAGAGAGACCCCAUUUCACUUUAC